GGGGGCGUAAAGGUUUCGACGGGGACUUUGAUGGCAGAUAAGCGAGUAGAGAGGGCGUCUGACUCUUAAAACGGCGCAAGCUUAAAUUUUAAACGACAACAAUAGUUUAGAAUUGGCUGCUGCUUAAUAGCGGCCCGUCCUGCCGGUGAGGACUGCGGCAUCGGUUUGGGCGUCGAUUAGCAGUGAACUUCACAGGGCGACUCCGGUGACCCUGUGUUGAAUUGCCGGAUACCAAGGUCUAAAGCCUGCUUGUGGGCGUUGUCCGAGGGAAGCUAAAGCAUAAGCUACACUCGUAGAAGGUUUGCAGGAUGGGUUUUCGGACACGAGUUCGACUCUCGUCGCCUCCACCA
rnacentral:tmRNA from 2 species